CGGGUACUGCCCGGCGCGUUAGGUCCAUCAUGCCCCUGGGCCAAUGUCCGAUGUGAUGGGAGCUGUCCCUGCCGCGACCCUGGUCACGGCAAUACGGCGCCCACCUGCAACAGCAGGCCACAGCGGAGCAUCCGAUGCCGACGGCCACGGCGGUCCCGUU
rnacentral:other from 1 species